GACGAACGCUGGCGGCGUGCCUAAUACAUGCAAGUUGAGCGCUGAAGGUUGGUACUUGUACCAACUGGAUGAGCAGCGAACGGGUGAGUAACGCGUGGGGAAUCUGCCUUUGAGCGGGGGACAACAUUUGGAAACGAAUGCUAAUACCGCAUAAAAACUUUAAACACAAGUUUUAAGUUUGAAAGAUGCAAUUGCAUCACUCAAAGAUGAUCCCGCGUUGUAUUAGCUAGUUGGUGAGGUAAAGGCUCACCAAGGCGAUGAUACAUAGCCGACCUGAGAGGGUGAUCGGCCACAUUGGGACUGAGACACGGCCCAAACGCCUACGGGAGGCAGCAGUAGGGAACCUUCGGCAAUGGACGAAAGUCUGACCGAGCAACGCCGCGGGAGGGAAGAAGGUUGUCGGAUCGUAAAACUCUGUUGGUAGAGAAGAACGUUGGUGAGAGUGGAAAGCUCAUCAAGUGACGGUAACUACCCAGAAAGGGACGGCUAACUACGUG
rnacentral:rRNA from 1 species